AUAUAAAUAAGCGGUGGAGAAGAAACUAACCAGGAUUCCCUCAGUAACUGCGAGUGAAGCGGGAAAAGCUCAAGCUUAAAAUCUGAAGAGGCCUCCUCUUCCGAAUUGUAGUUUCGCGAAUGACGCUUACGGGCAGUCCGCUCCGACAGAAGUCCUCUGGAAAGAGGCGCCGCAGAGGGUGAGAGCCCCGUACACGGUCGGAUGUCGGGCCGCCAACACGUACCGUCCAUUUGCAGAGUCGGGUUGUUUGGGAGUACAGCCCUAAGCGCGUGGUAAGUUCCAUGUAAAGCUAAAUAAGGGUGAGAGACCGAUAGCGAACAGGUACCGUGAGGGAAAGAUGCAAAGAACUUUGAAAAGAGAGUUAAAAGUGCUUGAAAUUGUUAAAAGGGAAGCGAUCUGUGUCAGUGAGUGGCGGCCGCCGACUCAUUCGCACCGGGGGUGCUGGUUCGCGGUCGGUCUGAGCGGCCCUCUGUGGCAGCCAUCCGAUCGCUGCCUGGCAUCUCCGUGGCGAAGCACUACGGCGGUCGCGGAGUCAGCAUCAAUCGGGGGAGGAGCAGAAGGGCCGGAGGAAGGUGACAUGGUGGAGCUCCUUGAGGGUUUCACCGUGUGUUAUAUCCUCCGGCAGAUACUCUUCUCAUCCGAUUGA
rnacentral:rRNA from 1 species